GUGGGGAAUAUUGGACAAUGGGCGCAAGCCUGAUCCAGCCAUGCCGCGUGAGUGAUGAAGGUCUUAGGAUUGUAAAGCUCUUUCACCGGUGAAGAUAAUGACGGUAACCGGAGAAGAAGCCCCGGCUAACUUCGUGCCAGCAGCCGCGGUAAUACGAAGGGGGCUAGCGUUGUUCGGAUUUACUGGGCGUAAAGCGCACGUAGGCGGACUUUUAAGUCAGGGGUGAAAUCCCGGGGCUCAACCCCGGAACUGCCUUUGAUACUGGAAGUCUUGAGUUCGAGAGAGGUGAGUGGAAUUGCGAGUGUAGAGGUGAAAUUCGUAGAUAUUCGCAGGAACACCAGUGGCGAAGGCGGCUCACUGGCUCGAUACUGACGCUGAGGUGCGAAAGCGUGGGGAGCAAACAGG
rnacentral:rRNA from 1 species